GCUAAUUCGGUGCGAGGGUGCGGGGUAUUGCGGUGGGUCGUAUGGUUAAGCGGUGUUACUGUGCGUAAAGCGGGUGUGGGCGGUGCGUUAAGUCGGUGGUGAAAUCCCUGGGCUCAACCUGGGAAUUGCAUUCGAUACUGGCGAGCUAGAGUACGGUAGAGGGCGGCGGAAUUCCGGGUGUAGCGGUGAAAUGCGUAGAUAUCCGGAGGAACACCGAUGGCGAAGGCAACCGCCUGGGCCUGUACUGACGCUGAGACACGAAAGCGUGGGGAGCAAACAGGAUUAGAUACCCUGGUAGUC
rnacentral:rRNA from 1 species